UACGUAGGGUGCAAGCGUUGUCCGGAAUUAUUGGGCGUAAAGAGCUCGUAGGCGGUCUGUCGCGUCGGCUGUGAAAACUCGGGGCUCAACCCCGAGCCUGCAGUCGAUACGGGCAUCACUGGAGUUCGGCAGGGGAGACUGGAAUUCCUGGUGUAGCGGUGAAAUGCGCAGAUAUCAGGAGGAACACCGGUGGCGAAGGCGGGUCUCUGGGCCGAUACUGACGCUGAGGAGCGAAAGCGUGGGGAGCAAACAGG
rnacentral:rRNA from 1 species